CCCAGUCAUGCUUCCUGUUUUGCCUGCAGAACUGCAUUUAUGAAGUAGGCACCUGGAAUUGAAUAGACUCCUAAAGGAGAGACAGAAGUUUGAAAGAGCAAGAAGAGUGGAUGUGGAUCCAGACAGAAAAAGAGAACAGCAAAUAUUUGAAAGAGCUUAAGACAUACUCCUCAAGGGGUUUCUCCUUUUGCGUCUUUCUCAUUUCUUUUGUUGCCACCGUGUAAGAAGUGCCUUUUGCCUCCUGCCAUGAUUCUGAGGCCUCCCCAGUCAUGUGGAACUGUACCACAGAUAGAAACCUUGAGAAGCUUACUUUGGUGAGAAAUUUUGCCUUUCUCUGCAGGCUUCUACCAGUUCGAUUCCAUCUGUGGGUCUUAGGUUUCAGUUACCUGCAGUCAAAUGUGGUCCAAUACACAGACUGGAAUAAGAGACAUUGGAGACUCCAAAAGAAUAUUUUCUGGUAGACUGAUACAUUUCUUCUAAAAAAUUUGGAAAAAUUUUGUGAUGAAGAAGCUACCUGGGCCUGAAGAUAUCUUUUCUGAAGAUGG
rnacentral:lncRNA from 1 species